AUGCGGAGCUUCAAAGAGUGUGGAUGUUCAGUAGCGUGCAUUGGGGUGCCUGAAAGUUUGACGGCGUGCGGGUUGCCUGAUGGUGUGCAGAUGCUUGAUAGCCUACAAAACUUGAUGCACUUCAUGAGGCAGGAGGAAGCCAUCAAAGCAAUGGAUCAUUUUGAAGGAGGACAGGAGUACAAUAGGAUUAGCAAGAGGUCUCUUAAGAACUGGAUGGUGAAUGCAUUUAGAGAGCGCAAAGCUCUUGCCCUAACACUUAAUGAUACAAAAAUUGCAGUAUCCACGCUCAACCAGACGACUAAUGUUGUUGGCGGCAUCAUCGUGUUUGUUCUUUGGCUUUUUAUUCUUAGCAUAGCAACGACGAAUUUUCUUGUCUUCCUCAGUUCACCGUUUUUGGUGGCAAUUAUUGUACUUGGAGACGCUUUGAAAUCAAUUUUUGAGGCAAUUGUUUUCUUAUUCGUGAUGCAUCCUUUUGAUGUUGGUGACCGCUGUGAAAUUGAGGAAGUUCAGGUCGUUGUUGAGGAAAUGAAUAUCUUGACAACAGUCUUUCUCCAAUAUGACAACCUGAAGAUAUACUAUCCAAACAACAUACUGGCGACCAUACCGAUUAUGAACUUUUACAGGAGUCCGGAUAUGGGAGAAGGAAUUGACUUCUAUAUUCACGUUGCCACACCGGUGAAACUAGCAGUAAUGAAGGAAAUAAUACGACGUUACAUCACCAACAAGAAAGAGCACUGGUACCCCGGGGCGAUGGUUGUCCUCCGUGAUGUAGAUGAGACCAACAAGCUAAAAGUAUCCAUAUGGCUCUGUCACACCCUCAAUUUCCAUGACAUGGGGAUCCGGUACGUGAGGAGGGAGCUGAAACAUUGUGGUAUAUGGAUGAUCGCCUCAGGUUGCCUAAACAGACUGACUCAAAUGUGCAACCCCAUUACAAUCACCAUUUCCCAGCCCUUUAGGGUGGCCCUUGAAAUCGACCAAGGAGAGCUACCAUGGGCCAUGAUGGUUCACCAGGGGUGCCGACGGAGCCACCUUGAUACCUUUGAUGUGUGA
rnacentral:rRNA from 1 species